AGACCCCUUGAAGACGACGAGGUAGAUAGGUUGGAGGUGGAAGUGCAGCAAUGCAUGGAGCUGACCAAUACUAAUCGGUCGAGGGCUUAUCCAA
rnacentral:rRNA from 3 species